GGCUGUCAAAGCUGCCUGCUUCCUCUAGGCCGCUCUCUGUAGGGAAUGAGAGGCAAGAAGGCUGAGCAAAGGUCACCCGCACCGAGAAUCUCCUGAAUUCUGUUCUGCCUGAAACAGCAGCUGCACUCGCCUCCGGCACGUCCCCAGCAGCUCACAGACUAUGCCCUGCAGCAGGUUUCCAAUCUCACCAGAUCCUUUUGCUCCUCCAUCAAGAAAGAAUUAUUCCGAAUUCUUUUGGAGAGCAACCAGACAGCCUUCCUACUCCACCUCCACCUCCUUGAAUAAAACUCUUAUUUUGUGGACUGGGGGUUAUCUACCGUGAUCUCUUUCUCCUGCGUUCUUAGCGUGCCAACGAGAAAAAUUACAGUGGAAAACGGACCAGAGGAGGGAGUGCUGCUGCUGCCGCUGCUCAGUCACUUCAGUCGCGUCCGACUCUGUGCGACCCCAUAGACGGCAGCCCACCAGGCUCCCCCGUCCCUGGGAUUCUCCAGGCAAGAGCACUGGAGUGGGUUGCCAUUUCCUUCUCCAAUGCAUGAAAGUGGAAAGUGAAAGUGAAGUCGCUCAGUCGUGUCCGACUCUUAGGGACCCCAUGGACUGCAGCCCACCAGGCUCCUUGGCCCAUGGGAUUUCCCAGGCAAGAGUACUGGAGUGGGGUGCCAUUGCCUUUUCCGAGGAGGGAGUACAGCUACCAUCAAAAUGAGUUGGAUUUGUGACUGACCUGUGGCUUCCCCAGGUGGCUCAGUGGUAAAAUCUGCCUACCAGUGCAGGAGUAGAGGAGACGCAGGUUUGAGCCCUGGGUCAGGAAGAUCCCCUGGAGGAGGAAACAGCAACCCACUCCAAUAUACUUGCCUGGAGAACCCCAUGGACAGAGCAGCCUGCCAGGCUACAGUCCAUGGCGUCACAGGAAGUCGGACACAACUGAGUGACUGAGUACGCACGCAUGUGACUUACGCUACUGACUUAGAGUUUGUACACUUAUUCACAGAAUAUUUAUUCAGUGCCUACCUCAUUCUCAGCACUGUGCCAGAAACUGAGGACACAACUGUGAGGAGGUCAGAAGAGGACUGUUCUCAG
ensembl:lncRNA